AAACGAUGCCACCAGUAAUUCGCCUGAGUUCCUUAAAUGACUCGGCGAGGGACUUCCGGGAAACCAAAGUCUUUCGGUUCCAGGGGAAGUAUGGUUGCAAAGCUGAAACUUAAAGAAAUUGACGGAAGGGCACCACCAGGAGUGGAGCCUGCGGCUUAAUUUGACUCAACACGGGAAAACUCACCCGGCCCGGACACUGGAAGGAUUGACAGAUUGAGAGCUCUUUCUUGAUUCAGUGGGUGGUGGUGCAUGGCCGUUCUUAGUUGGUGGAGUGAUUUGUCUGGUUAAUUCCGAUAACGAACGAGACUCUAGCCUACUAAAUAGAUCGUCGGCUUACAAACGCUGACGAGACUUCUUAGAGGGACAGGCGGCGGUUCAGCCGCACGAAACAGAGCAAUAACAGGUCUGUGAUGCCCUUAGAUGUCCGGGGCUGCACGCGCGCUACACUGAAGUGAUCAGCGUGCAAUUUACGUUUGGUGAUCUGUCAAGAUUGCCCAACCCGUUGAACCUUCUUCGUGAUUGGGAUAGGGGAUUGUAAUUAUUCCCCUUGAACGAGGAAUUCCCAGUAAGCGCAAGUCAUAAGCUUGCGUUGAUUACGUCCCUGCCCUUUGUACACACCGCCCGUCGCUACUACUGAUUGAAUGAAUUAGUGAGGUCUUCGGACUGGCCUGUGCUGGCUGUUUCGGCAGCUGCACAUGGCUCGGGAAGAUGCCCAAACUUGUUCAUUU
rnacentral:rRNA from 1 species